CCCGCGGCCCGCCCGGGCAGCCCCGGCCCGCCCCGGGAGCGCAGCGAGCGCCGCUCGGCGGCGGCGGUGCUGGGCUCGGCCCUGUGGGCGUGCGGCGCGCUGAGGGCUCCGGGACGUGCCCGCGGCCGUGGGUGAGCGGCCCCACGCUGCGCCCCCGCGGGCAGAGACGGCUCCGUGCCGCCUGUGACACGCGUGGGGUUCCCGGCUGCGCUGAGGGUCUGCGGGACAGAGCCGUGCUGGGGCCGCAUGGAGCUGCUGCUGGAAUUCCGCGCGGCUGGAAUUCACUGUGGGAAAGGGGGGUUUGCCAGGUGUUGGCCUGACACACGCGAAGCGCCCUCUUAAUUGGUUUCCUGGGGAGCUUGUCUCUGACAGCGUCUCAUUAUGCGAGAAACGCUCUCUCCUUUUGUCCCAUGCUCUGCAUAUUUUACCAUAAAAUGUUCAUCUCCGCUUCUGCAGACUGUGGCUCGGGCGUGCAGCAGUGUCACCCGGCGGUGCCCGCAGGAGCCCCGCGCCCCCCGUGCCCAUUCCCCGGCUCCGUGUGUCCCCCGGCGCUCUCGCAGGCUGCACGGGCGGGGUGCGUGUCCUGCCCCGCCCAUGCCCGGGGCUCUGCCGUGGCUGACAGAACGGGUACCAUGAGCCGUGGACAUUUUGUAGCCCCUUGUGUUUCAGCUUGUUCCCGGGGGCUCCUACCCGUUCCCGAGGAGCCCCGCACGGUCCGACUCCUCUGUCACUGCUGCAGGAGCCCUCUGCAGCCCCAGGUAACUGCGAGCCCCAGGAAUUCAGGAAUUCACUGUGCUGUGGGAGCACGGCCUGGGCAGAGGCCAGGCCACAGCAACAGGUGUUUGGUGGGGGUCAGUGCAGGGUAGUGCCGGCGAAGGGGAUAACAGUGGUGAAGCUACCCACUAAGGAGUCUCAACUCAAUUAAAGCUAUUGAUUAAUCAAUUAGAAGAGGCUUGACUCAACUUCUCAGUAACAGUCCAAACUGUCAAUUGCAGGGAGUGGCAUCCGUGUCCUCGGGAUGCAAAGAGGCCAGGAGACGAAAGGCCUGUCCACAGGAUCCAGCACCAACUGAGCCCCGCCUUUCCAGUGUAACCCCAUGGCAGCUGUGCCCUGAGCCCCAUCACCCCUGCUGGGUGUCCCUCCCAGCUCCCCGGUGUUGGGGCAGGCUUUGCAGAGUGAUGUGAUGCGACUGGCUGCAUGUAUAUGCCCAGCUCUCCUUAUCCAGCACAGAUAUCCCCAGGACACAGACUGCUCCCUGCCGGCAGCUGCCAUACCAGGGGAGUGCUGCACCUUAUAUGUGUCCUGUGGCCUCACUCUGUGGUGCACAGGGGUUGUCAUCCUCUUCAGUCUUUUCCAGGAGGCACCUGAGUGCAGCCGUGGGCACCAGUGGUGGUUUGACUCAAGGACCUAGCACUGAAGAGAGGUGGCAGCCCUGGUGCCUGCUGAGGACUCCUUCUGGGAUUCUGACUUGACUCUGUCAAGUCCUCCUCAGCUUACCCUGGUCUCUUCCCCAGAUGUGCAGGAGGGAAAGAGUCAUCAAUAUGGAGUCAACGAGCUCCGUCUCCCGGGAAAGCUUCUUCCCAUCCAGAGCUGAGCAGCGGUGCCCUGGGGCUGGACCGUCCUCCCGGAGCAGGGCAGGGCUGUCCACACGCAGCACACAGCCGGGGCCGACCCGAAACCUGCCACUUCCCCCAAACCUGGUGCGUGUUGAUGAUUUCAGCUGCUGUUGGCACCUGCACACGCGGGGCUGAACUGGCCGUGCACACCCAGGUGGGCUGGGAAGCAGAGGGAGGUGUUCACUCCUCAGGCGUGGACAGGCAGCCAGGGGACAACUGCAUGCGGUUGCCAGAGCUCCCUGGCUGUCCCCACUGCCCAGGUUUCCCUGGGCAUCACUCUGGGGCCAGAGAGGGGUCUCCUGACAACUGUGAGCAGCUGCCCAUCUCUCUCCAUACACAGGGACCCCAGAUGUAGGGGCCGGUGGCAGCAAGUCACCCUACAGGUCAGCAGUCACUCCUGAGCACAUGGAGCAAGAUGUCCCCAGGACAGUGUCCCCAGGAGAUUCUGUGUCUCCACAGCCCAUGGUGCCCAUCCCUGUUCCCACCCACAAUCCCUUGUUUGUAGCAGGGCCCCUGAGGCAAGUGUGGCGUCAGCAGGAGAAGGGCACAGGUAGGAAAUCAAUGCCCGAAUCCCCACAGCACAGCUGAGCCUGGCGGUGGGGCACAGUGAACUGGGGCAGGCAGGGUGGCAGUGAUGCCAUCAUUCCUCGCAGCUCCACCCCAGUUCUGUGACUCGGCUCCCAUCCCACCGCUGCACCCACCACAGCUCAACCUGCCUAAUGGAAUCCACUUACAUGCAAAAUCCCCAGAAAAAAGUGGUAAUUAAUGAAGUCCCUUUCAUUACCAUUAUGCAAAUGCGAUUAAUUUCAGCUGUUAUGAAUAUGCAAAUAUUAUAAUUAUACUCUAAUUGCCAAUGUA